GUUCUUAAGACAAAACUUUGAAGGAAUUAUUAAUCAUCUGAAUACAUCAUGCCUUAUGCCAACACUAUCCAAAAGACCCCAUAAAUCCCAAACCCUAAACCCUUCAGCCUGCCUCCUCUCUGAGGUCACCUGCACCCCCAUCAGUGUCUACUGUCCAAUGAAAUCAACUUUAUUGUUGCAUAAGCCUAUUACACUUGGUCUCUGAACUUUUUUCACAAUAAAGACAAGAACUUGCUGACCUCCACCUCCAGUGAUAAAUGUCUGUUAUUUUGCUAUUUCAUUCAGCCUUCUAGUCUUAACACAGUCCUUUUCCUCUCUCCCUGUUUUAUUUCAGACCAGCAGGAGAGUGGAAGUUCUCAGAACACAAUCUCACUCCAUACAGUGCUCCGUGGCUUCCCCAAACUUUGGGGUGGUAGGUAAGUAAUUUCCACACUGUGCAGAUCAAGCAGACAGUGGAUGCCAGAUUCACAAGGGAGUUGCCCUAUGCUGCUCAGUAGUUCAAUGAACUUUCCUUUUCUCCCUCUGUUAUUCCUUGCUCUCUACUACUUGCAUGGCUGCUGACAUUCACUUCUACUCUUGCUCUAAAGAAUUCCUUCCUCGCUGGAAGAUAUUUGACCUGAUUGAGAAUUCUUUCCUGAUCAGAAUUAAGAGCCCUUCCCUCACAAUGUUGAGGUCUCACCUAGUGCACAGGGAGAGAACUCCCCAGACACAGCUGCCCAGCAACAUCUGGAACCACACAAGCUGCUCCUCUUGACUUGGAAGCUGAGUUUAUAAGAUGGAAAGUCCCUUGCAAGAUUGAGAGUCCCUUGCACAGAUCAUGACACCUGUCUUGUGUCAUCAGUGCAGAGGUGGCUCCUCCAUGCAGUCUGCCUCUUCACCUGUGGAUGGGAGUAAGGACGGUGCAGGUCUGUCAUGGCCCUGCUGCAGGAGUAGGGUGUAGAAAACUGAGGGGAAAGGAAGAGAGAAAGAGACCAUCCAGGCUUUCAUGACUCACUGUCUUGUGUUUGAAAAUGUCCUAUUUCAUUAUUUUCUACAAUUGAUUUCUGUAGCAUCUAUUCUGAAGACAAUACUAGAAAGAAUAUGCAAUUCCUUUGCACGGAUUUUGUCAAUAUUAAAUGACUUAGUCACUUUGCAAGGGAAAUAAAGAGGUUGAUUCAUGGCGAUGUGAUCCUCUUGUCACUUCUGGUUCCUUUUUUCCUGUUCUAUAUCAAGACUCAGAGCCCAUGGGAAGUGCAUUUUUGCAAUCAAAGAAGAACCUGACAAGAACCCGAGCAAGGAACUCAGGACAUCAUUCAUGAUUCUUCCUUUAAUAUAUCUCUGUUUGAACCCAACUGCAUCCCUAAACCAAAGCUGCUUCUGUCUAAGAUCUGGAUUCCCCUCAGUAUUAUUCUUGUGAUCCUAGUCUUGCUAGGACUGUUGGCCUCCAUCCUGACGCAACUUAAAAUCCUGGUGUCAGCAUCCUUCUACCCUAGCGUGCAGAGCAAGCGUAUCCAAUACUUACAUGCAAAGCUACUGAAGAAAAGAUCGAAGCAGCCAGUGGGAGAAGUAAAAAGGAAACUGAGUCUGUACUUUACAAAGGUAAGGCCAGAUGGUGGUAUAACUGGUAAUUAAGGAAAUUUUGUGUUUGAAGGACAUGUGGAAUUUCAAAGUUCUUCACCUUCACAUUAGGGCUUAUAUCCCAGCAACAGAUGGGACACAGGAGGAAAAAAAUCAACAGAUUUACAUGGCUAAGACUCUUAGCUUUGUGAUUUUGCAUGCUGGUUCAGAGAAUUCUACAAGAUAUCCUUCAAAACACUGAUUUCAAGUGAGUCUAUUCAGUCACAUCAUAGAGAGGAUACCUGGGAAGAUGCUCUGUAAUGGCCACUAAAGGGCAGGGCCCAAUAAGAGUGACUUUACCAGGUCAAGACUAAAUAAGUAACAAAGAGGGAAAUAUCUACUGCAACUUAGAAUUUCCUCAUUCUCCACCAUUUAUAUAUAUAAAUGUAUACCAUAUAUAUAUAUAUAUAUACACUUAUACAUAUAUAUGGUAAUGAUGACUUCCACACACAUAUAAAAUGAACACUUGUUAAAGAUUUUAUUUAACUUAUUAAAGACAGAACAGUAAGAAGUUUCAAACAGUUCAAAGCACACACAUAUAUAGGCCAAGGGGAAUACCAAAAUGAAUUUGCUUAAUAGAUGUAAGACUAACUUCUCCCACAUGGGUGGAUGGGAGGAUCAAUUAUACUCUAUAAAGUGAAAAUCAUUUGUAUGUCUGUUACUGAGAAUCAUUUGCAUUGUUGCUAUGAGCUAUCUACAACUUACAGAAUUGGAAAAUAGCUCAAAGACAAUGAAAACCCAAGAUAACCCACAGGGAUAAGCCAUCUCAAAGGCUUUUGCAUUUUUCCUGACACCAGUAACCCACAGUGAGAAGGUUAUGCCAGAGGCAUUUGAAAUUACUUGAAUGCUUUUUCAUCUACCUUUUUUUUUCUCUCCAGAUUGAUUUCUGGUUUCCGGUCCUGAAAAUGGUGCGGAAGAAACAAAGGGGCUUUGCAGGCGAAGGGGAUCCUUGAAGGAGCCCGAGUCGCCCCUCGGCUGCCCUGCCC